rnacentral:rRNA from 1 species
AUGGAGCUAAGCGCAGCCACCCUCCUGGUCCUAUCCUUCGUCUCACUGAUGAUUCUCGUGUCUUUGCUUAGCCGCAAAACCACAGCAAGUUCCAAGGGGAGGAAGCCUCCCGGCCCACGGUGCCUCCCCUUCAUCGGAAGCCUCCUCCACCUCCUGACAGCGACGCCCCAGAUCGCUCUCCGGGACCUGGCCAAGAAACACGGCCCAGUGAUGUACCUGCGGUUGGGCCAGGUGGACGCCGUGGUGAUCUCCUCGCCGGCAGCCGCACAGGUGGUGCUCCGGGAUAGCUCCCUCACCUUCGCGUCAAGGCCGAAACUUCUGGCCGCGGAGAUCGUGGGCUACGGGAGCGUCGACAUAGCCUUCGCGCCAUACGGCGCGUACUGGAGGACCCUGCGCAAGCUCUGCAUGGUGGAGCUCCUGAGCGCGCGAAAGGUGAGGCAGUUUGCGCCCAUCAGGAACAGCGUGAGCAUGUCCCUCGUUAGGGAUGUCCGCGCCGCCGCCGGCGAGCCCGUCAAUCUCGGGAAGCUGCUCAUGUCGUGCACGAACACGAUUACUGCAAAGGCGACGUUCGGCGACGAGUUCGACGCCGAGCUCCAAGAGCGGUUCCUGGCUGGGAUGGAUGUGCUGCUCAAGAUAGUUGGGGCAUUCUCCUUCGGGGACCUCUUCCCUUCGCUGUGGUUCCUGGACGUCGUCACUGGGCUGAGGCGCUCGGUCUGGCGAGCGCGCCGGCAGUUCGACGCCAUCUUUGACAAGAUCAUCGCCAGCUGCGAGGCGCGACGGGCGGAGAAAAAGAAUGCCACAGCCGGAGACGAUGACCUUCUGGGCGUCAUGCUUAGGAUUAAGGAUGAGGCGCAGCAUGAGUUCCCCAUCGGCAUCACAAACAUCAAGGCAAUUAUAGUGGACUUGUUCACGGCAGGCACGGAGACGACGUCGUCACUCCUUGAGUGGAUCAUGUCAGAGCUCAUAAGGAACCCAGAGGUGAUGGCAAAGGUUCAGGAGGAGGUGCGACAAACAUUGGACAACAAGAGUCCUGGAGACCAUGAAGUCCACAUGGACAAGCUGCGCUACAUGAAGAUGGUGAUCAAGGAGGGUUUGAGGUUGUACCCGGCCGCACCGCUCUUGCUCCCCCGUGUCUGCAGCAAGACUUGCGAUGUUAGUGGGUUUGAGAUCACAGAGGGCUCCAGGGUCAUGGUCAAUGCAUGGGCGAUAGCGAGGAACCCCGAGUAUUGGCAUGACGCAGACGAGUUCAAGCCGGAGAGGUUCGAAGACAUUAUCGUGGAUUAUAACGGCACACAGUUUGAGUACUUACCGUUCGGGAGCGGGCGAAGAAUGUGCCCUGGCAAUACCUUUGGGUUGGCCACGUUGGAGCUCAUCCUGGCUCGGCUUCUGUACUUCUUCGAUUGGAGCCUACCGGGCGGAAUGCGUCCGGAUGAACUUGACAUGGACAUGAUCGUCGGCACAACACUGAGAAGAAAGAACCAGCUUCACCUAGUAGCAACACCGUACAAUGUUCCCAUGGAACUUUGA